rnacentral:rRNA from 1 species
ACGGGUGAGUAACGCGUGGGAAUCUACCCAUCUCUACGGAAUAACGCAUGGAAACGUGUGCUAAUACCGUAUACGCCCUUUUGGGGAAAGAUUUAUCGGAGAUGGAUGAGCCCGCGUUGGAUUAGCUAGUUGGUGGGGUAAAGGCCUACCAAGGCGACGAUCCAUAGCUGGUCUGAGAGGAUGAUCAGCCACAUUGGGACUGAGACACGGCCCAAACUCCUACGGGAGGCAGCAGUGGGGAAUAUUGGACAAUGGGCGCAAGCCUGAUCCAGCCAUGCCGCGUGAGUGAUGAAGGCCUUAGGGUUGUAAAGCUCUUUCACCGGUGAAGAUAAUGACGGUAACCGGAGAAGAAGCCCCGGCUAACUUCGUGCCAGCAGCCGCGGUAAUACGAAGGGGGCUAGCGUUGUUCGGAAUUACUGGGCGUAAAGCGCACGUAGGCGGACAUUUAAGUCAGGGGUGAAAUCCCGCAGCUCAACUGCGGAACUGCCUUUGAUACUGGGUGUCUAGAGUAUGGAAGAGGUAAGUGGAAUUGCGAGUGUAGAGGUGAAAUUCGUAGA